GCCUACGGGGGGCAGCAGUGAGGAAUAUUGGUCAAUGGGCGGAAGCCUGAACCAGCCAAGUCGCGUGAGGGAUUAAGGCCCUAUGGGUCGUAAACCUCUUUUGUCAGGGAGCAAUGGCGUCCACGUGUGGGCGUAUGGAGAGUACCUGAAGAAAAAGCAUCGGCUAACUCCGUGCCAGCAGCCGCGGUAAUACAUAGGGAGCAAGCGUUAUCCGGAUUUAUUGGGGGUAAAGGGUGCGUAGACGGGAAAGCAAGUUAGUUGUGAAAUCCCUCGGCUUAACUGAGGAACUGCAACUAAAACUGUUU
rnacentral:rRNA from 1 species